UGUAUACAUGGACAUUGGGCUAUGCUUGGCAUGGCCUGGUCCAGACCCAUCGGGCCAUAGUCCAAAUAGAUCGUACCAAGCAUGGCCCAUUUACCCUAAAUCCUGGCUUGGCAUAGCCCUAGGCUCGAGGUUUGGCAGGCUGUACUAGGCAUGGCCUAUGGCAUGUCUGGCCCGUGGGCCUGAUGGGCGGCAUUUUUUUUUUAAAUCAGUCCAAAUGGAUCAUACUAGAAUAGUCUGUUUAAUAUCAUUACAGGCCAGGCUCGACCUGUAACAGCUAAAUCUUUUUUUUUAAUUUUUUGGAUUGAUAACAGUAAUUUUUAGGCUUUUUACCAUUUUAACCCCCUCAACAGUCAUAAAACAGCUAAUUUGAGGGGUAUUUUGAUAUUUUAGAUUCCUAUAAAUACCUCCUCCUCUUUUAUAAUUUAUAAAAAAAUUAUAUUUUUUAAAUUUAGAAAAAGGGUCGGGCUUGGAUCGGGUCGGGAUCAUGUCAGGCCAUGCUUGGCCCAUGGCCCGUGCUUGACCCAGGCCUUUAUAGGCCGUGUCGGGCCUGGGCCGCAGACCGCAAACCCUUAGCCCGGCCUGGCCCCUUCUAAUGGGCUGUGCCUGAUACGACCCAUUUUGUGCUAGGUCGGGCUGUGUAAUGGGCGGCCCGGCCUAUUAUCCAUGUCUAGGCUUGUAUUUCCACCGAUCAAAAAUUAUGGGGAAAGUAAAAGAUGAAGUGGAGGACUAAAACUUUUCUAGAUGAGUUCAAAUGAAAGUGAGGGUGAGACUAAACAUAAGCCAGUGAUACCUAAUAAUUAAUUACUUCACCAC
rnacentral:lncRNA from 1 species